CAACCUACCCUAUAGUUUGGGAUAACUCCGGGAACCGGGGCUAAUACCGAAUAAUCUAUGUCACCUCCGCAUUAGCUAGUUGGUGAGGUAAUGGCUCACCAAGGCGACGAUGCGUAGCCCCUGAGAGGGUGAUCGGCCACACUGGGACUGAGACACGGCCCAACUCCUGGGGCAGCAGUAGGGAAUCUUCCACAAUGGGCGAAAGCCUGAUGGAGCAACCCGGUGAGUGAAGAAGGUUUUCGGAUCGUAAAACUCUGUUGUAAGGGAAGAACAAUACAGUAGUAACUGGCUGUACCUUGACGGUACCUUAUUAGAAAGCCACGGCUAACUACGUGCCAGCAGCCGCGGUAAUACGUAGGUGGCAAGCGUUGUCCGGAAUUAUUGGGCGUAAAGCGCGCGCAGGCGGUCCUUUAAGUCUGAUGUGAAAGCCCACGGCUCAACCGUGGAGGGUCAUUGGAAACUGGGGGACUUGAGUGCAGAAGAGGAAAGGGAAUUCCAAGUGUAGCGGUGAAAUGCGUAGAGAUUUGGAGGAACACCAGUGGCGAAGGCGACUUUCUGGUCUGUAACUGACGCUGAGGCGCGAAAGCGUGGGGGCAAACAGGAUUAGAUACCCUGGUAGUCCACGCCGUAAACGAUGAGUGCUAAGUGUUAGGGGGUUUCCGCCCCUUAGUGCUGCAGCUAACGCAUUAAGCACUCCGCCUGGGGAGUACGGUCGCAAGACUGAAACUCAAAGGAAUUGACGGGGGCCCGCACAAGCGGUGGAGCAUGUGGUUUAAUUCGAAGCAACGCGAAGAACCUUACCAGGGUGACAGGUGGUGCAUGGUUGUCGUCAGCUCGUGUCGUGAGAUGUUGGGUUAAGUCCCGCAACGAGCGCAACCCUUGAUCUUAGUUGCCAUCAUUUAGUUGGGCACUCUAAGGUGACUGCCGGUGAUAAACCGGAGGAAGGUGGGGAUGACGUCAAAUCAUCAUGCCCCUUAUGACCUGGGCUACACACGUGCUACAAUGGACGAUACAAACGGUUGCCAACUCGCGAGAGGGAGCUAAUCCGAUAAAGUCGUUCUCAGUUCGGAUUGUAGGCUGCAACUCGCCUACAUGAAGCCGGAAUCGCUAGUAAUCGC
rnacentral:rRNA from 1 species